rnacentral:rRNA from 1 species
UACGUAGGGUGCAAGCGUUAAUCGGAAUUACUGGGCGUAAAGCGUGCGCAGGCGGUCCGUUAAGACAGAUGUGAAAUCCCCGGGCUUAACCUGGGAACUGCAUUUGUGACUGGCGGACUCGAGUAUGGCAGAGGGGGGGUAGAAUUCCACGUGUAGCAGUGAAAUGCGUAGAGAUGUGGAGGAAUACCGAUGGCGAAGGCAGCCCCCUGGGCCCAAUACUGACGCUCAUG